CUGGCUCGCGGCCCCCAAGCUGCGUUGACCCGCGCAGGCCUAGGCGGUUGCGAACACCCGCCUCCUAGUCCCCACGCGCCGACUUCCGGUCUUUUUCUACAUCUAUUGGUCAACCUCUGUAACCAUCGCGUCACGACCUUAAAGUGGAUUAGUUGGCCUUGUGGUCAGUCAUAGUGACCCCUGACAAGGGGAGGCUUCAUUGGCGCCAUAAAGUGUCGAUCACUUUGUCACAGGACGUCGCGUGGUACAAUUGGCAGGCAAUAGUACCAUUCAUCCCGCCCCCGUCUGAGGUGACGGGAAAGGGUUGGGGAAUUUCCACUUCUGAUUAAAAUGACGGCUGAGGUGACGACCCGCCAGAAUUAGUGAGAUUUGGAGUAGAAUUCACCCUGAGCUUGGUGAGGCUUAUACGUUAAGGAUGCAAGAGGCACAGAGGUUACCAAGCUCCCACCUGUCGCUCUCCGCCAGACGCCGAGACUGCGGCCGGAGAGUUGCUGCACGGGGAUUGGAGGAAUGAAGCAAUCAGUCUCGUCUAGUCCCCACCUUCCUCGCAGUCUCUGGUUGGAGGAGCGGAGCGUCAGUCACUAGAGCGGGCGCCACCUCUGGGACAGGAAUUUGUUGUCAACUCCUGGACAGCUCCUAUAGUAGAAUUCAGCACCAGGAGAAGAGGUAAGAAGCAGUGAACUGGCCUCACACCAGGAUUAUUUUCCUUGUACUCACCUUCUUUUCUCAUUUUCGACCAGUCGGCAAUUCCUCCCUUCUUAUUCAAAGGUUUCUCCUAAUCCUCCUCCUAAUAUCGGUCUACAUUUGAGAAGUAGAUACAGACACAUUCCUGCCUUCCCCAAUGUCUCCUCUUGAUUGCUCUUAGGAAAAAUGACCUAAGAUGUCUCUGACCACAGUAUAUAUGGACAAGUACAUACUCUGGUCCAUUUGCAAAGACAGAAAUCUAGAGUGUUGGGAAACAUGAGGUCCUGGACAAGGGGACAGAAGGACACAGAACCUCAGGGAAAAUCAGAACCUCAGGCCAAGAGCCCAAGGAAUUCACAUUAUAACAACCUAAUACCCACAAAAGUGUGAAAGUCAUUGUCCCACAGCUACAGACUAGAGAAGAGAGGACCUAUGUUACUGAUAUGGAGAGAUUUUCCCUGGGGCUAGGGAGGCUCUAAUAACCCUCCAUACAGCCCUGAGUUUUUCAUCUAAACAUCUUAAAAAUGUUAUAGGCAUCAAUUAACCCUUAUAGCACCCUAGAAUCAGGACUGUGGCCCGAUUUUACUGACAGAAAACUGAAGAGUGUGGGUUAGAGCCAGGAAAGGAAUGUUUCAGGCUCACAUGGCCUGGACUGAGCAAGCUAAGGGCUACAUCUGAAGCCAGAGCUCACCUCAUAGUCUUCCCCUUAUGACAGUGGUUCCCAAUCUGGGGACUGUAGGACACUUAAAUUCAUGUCUCUGUUUACCAUGUCUUGGCUGCAGGCAGAUGAUAAUUUAGUUGGUUCCUUGUCAUGCAGGUGCCAGCUUAAAGAUCACCUGCUCAGAGAGGCCUCCCUUGAGCAUCCAUCUCUAGUAAACUUCUCCCAGUCCCUAUCAUAUUACUGAUUUUCUUCAGUGUACUUGUCAUUAUCCCAGAUAAUGUUAUUUUUUGUUUGUUAUUUCUGUCUUUCAGUAUAAACUCCAUGAUGUUAGAAAUUUUAUCUGACAAGACAUUGCUGAUGUUCAAUAAGUAUUUGUUGAAUGUUUAAAUAAGUCUAAAUAAAGAUGUUUUCAACAUUAUGUAGAUGCUGCUGAAAUGAGUAAAAUACAUAACUAUCUAAGUUUAAAUUAUACUUUUGGUAUAUAUUUCUCUCAAUCAAUAGGUACUCAGGCUGUAAUGUUAGGAGCCUUUUUAAAAAAACAUUUAGAAGAGCCGGGCACCUGUGUGGUUCAGUCAUUAUACAUCUCACUUUGACUCAGGUCAUGAUUUCACCGUUAGUGAGUUCAAGUCCCACAUGGGUGAACUCAAGCCCCACCAGGUGAGACCCACUUCUCUCUCUCUCUCUCUCUCUCUCUCUCUCCCCCUCCCCCCCCCCUCACUCACUUGGGUACUCUUGCUCUCUCAAAAAUAAAAAAAUAAAAAAUAAAAAAACAACAUCUUUAAAAAAAAAAAGGCACUAAAAAGAGCCUUCAAAAUUUCCACUUCUGGGGCACCUGGCUGGUUCAUGGUGGAAUGUGCAACUCUUGAUCUUGGGGUUGUGAGUUUGAGCCCCAAAUUGGGGGGAGAAUUUACUUAAAAAUAAAACAUUAUAGAAAAAAGAAUUUCCACUUCUGGCCUUGUAUAGAUUAAACUUUUUGAAUAGCCUUCCUGACUAAAACAACUAAAAUGCUAGAUGCUAGAUUAAAUAUAAUUUUUAACUUUAAAAUUCACAGAUGAACUGACAUACACAAGUGCUCUAUCAUUACUCUUUAAUUUCACUCCUAGGUAUAUACUCUGAAGAAAUUCUUGUACUUGCGUAUAUGAUACCUUGUGUAUAUGAUACCUUUUUCAGAUUAUAAGGUUAUUCAUUCUAUGCAGAUUACAAAAAGAAUGAGGUAGAUAAAGAAUGUAUGUACCAACAGGGGAACAUAUUCAACUCACAUUAAGUGACAAACAUGUAGAACUCAAGAGUAUAAUCCCAUUUUAAUAAAAAUAUUAACUUGUCCCUUGAAAUAAAUCUGAACAAUAUACACUAAAAUGUGAACACUGGUUAUCACUGGCAUGGUUUUCAUUUCAAAAUUAUAUGUGUCUUUGAUGUUUUGAUAUUUUCAAUAACCUCAUUUACUUUUGUGGUCAAAAAUCAGUAAAGUUUUUUUUUUUUAUGUAUAGAAAACUGUUUUAAAUAG